AACGAACGCUGGCGGCAGGCCUAACACAUGCAGGUCGAACGCCCUAGCAAUAGGGAGUGGCGCACGGGUGAGUAACGCGUGGGAACGUGCCUUUCAGUCUGGAAUAACAGCGGGAAACUGCUGCUAAUACCGGAUAUUCUCUACGGAGGAAAGAUUUAUCGCUGAAAGAUCGGCCCGCGUAAGAUUAGGUAGUUGGUAGGGUAAUGGCCUACCAAGCCUACGAUCUUUAGCUGGUCUGAGAGGAUGAUCAGCCACACUGGGACUGAGACACGGUCCAGACUCCUACGGGAGGCAGCAGUGGGGAAUAUUGGACAAUGGGCGCAAGCCUGAUCCAGCCAUGCCGCGUGAGUGACGAAGGCCUUAGGGUUGUAAAGCUCUUUUAUCAGGGACGAUGAUGACGGUACCUGAAGAAUAAGACACGGCUAACUUCGUGCCAGCCGCCGCGGUAA
rnacentral:rRNA from 1 species